ensembl:lncRNA PLEKHA8P1 pleckstrin homology domain containing A8 pseudogene 1
AGAAGGAAGUCGGCAGGCGAGACUGCAGAGGGAGUAGUGCGAUCCUGCGCGCGGGGGAACUAGCUGGAGGGCAAGGCGGGAACACGCCACUGUGAGCAUGCAUUUCAGGUUGUUGGCGCAGCUCUGCUCCAUGAUGUCGAUCUGAAACCCAGAUUUUCCUUCUCUUGCCACUGUCAUCUCCUGCAUGGCCAAAGCUAGGUCACCAUCAUAGUCAUGUUUCAGCCUAUGGGAAGGGGGAAAGACAAUAUUCAAGCAUCUAUUGUUGGGGUGAUCGGACCUAACACCAGGUUGUGGGGACAACGAAGUCCAGAAGAGUGAAAGGAAUGAGAAAAGACAGUUUGAGAGAGAAAGUGGGCCCAGGGGGCCAAUGCGAGUAUGGAGGCUGUGAAGGCCCCGAGCCCUGGAAGCCCAGACUAUUUAUUGGUGAUCAAACAAAGAAACAGGUGAUAAUACAUGCAUGGACCUGAUAAUCCCCGGGGAACAGUAUUUCUACCUGAAGGCCAGAAGUGUGCCUGAAAGAUAGCGGCGGCUGGUGGCCCUGGGAUCAGCCAAGGCUUGCCUGACUGACAGUAGGACCCAGAAGGAUAAAGAGUUUGCUGAAAACACUGAAAACUUGAAAACCAAAAUGUCAGAACUAAGACUCUGCUGUGACCUCCUUGUUCAGCAAGUAGAUAAAACAAAAGAAGUGACCACAACUGGUGUGUCCAAUUCUGAGGAGGGAAUUGAUGUGGGAACUUUGCUGAAAUCAACCUGUAAUACUUUUCUGAAGACCUUGGAAGAAUGCAUGCAGAUUGCAAAUGCAGCCUUCACCUCUGAGCUGCUCUACCACACUCCACCAGGAUCACCACAGCUGGCCAUGCUCAAGUCCAGCAAGAUGAAACAUCCUAUUAUACCAAUUCAUAAUUCAUUGGAAAGGCAAACGGAGUUGAGCACUUGUGAAAAUGGAUCUUUAAAUAUGGAAAUAAAUGGUGAGGAAGAAAUCCUAAUGAAAAAUAAGAAUUCCUUAUAUUUGAAAUCUGCAGAGAUAGACUGCAGCAUAUCAAGUGAGGAAAAUACAGAUGAUAAUAUAACCGUCCAAGGUGAAAUAAUGAAGGAAGAUAGAAUGGAAAACCUGAAAAAUCAUGACAAUAACUUGUCUCAGUCUGGAUCAGACUCAAGUUGCUCUCCAGAAUGCCUCUGGGAGGAAGGCAAAGAAGUUAUCCCAACUUUCUUUAGUACCAUGAACACAAGCUUUAGUGACAUUGAACUUCUGGAAGACAGUGGCAUUCCCACAGAAGCAUUCUUGGCAUCAUGUUGUGCUGUGGUUCCAGUAUUAGACAAACUUGGCCCUACAGUGUUUGCUCCUGUUAAGAUGGAUCUUGUUGAAAAUAUUAAGAAAGUAAAUCAGAAGUAUAUAACCAACAAAGAAGAGUUUACCACUCUCCAGAAGAUAGUGCUGCACGAAGUGGAGGCGGAUGUAGCCCAGGUUAGGAACUCAGCGACUGAAGCCCUCUUGUGGCUGAAGAGAGGUCUCAAAUUUUUGAAGGGAUUUUUGACAGAAGUGAAAAAUGGGGAAAAGGAUAUCCAGACAGCCCUGAAUAACGCAUAUGGUAAAACAUUGCGGCAACACCAUGGCUGGGUAGUUCGAGGGGUUUUUGCGUUAGCUUUAAGGGCAACUCCAUCCUAUGAAGAUUUUGUGGCCGCGUUAACCGUAAAGGAAGGUGACCACCGGAAAGAAGCUUUCAGUAUUGGGAUGCAGAGGGACCUCAGCCUUUACCUCCCUGCCAUGAAGAAGCAGAUGGCCAUACUGGACGCUUUAUAAGAGGUCCAUGGGCUGGAAUCUGAUGAGGUUGUAUGAUGGCUGCUGGGCAGCACCUCCUAACUUCAGGGAAUAAAGUGCUAAAGUGUAAAAAAAAAUAAAAAUAAAAAUAAAUAAAUAAAUAAAAUUAAAAAAAAUAAAAA